rnacentral:hammerhead_ribozyme from 1 species
AAGCGAAACGGCAGGCUUGCGAUCUGCCGUCUUCCGCGCGUGGCGGCGCGGAACUGAAGAGCGGCCAAAG